GUUAUAUGGUCAAGUGAAGAAGCGCAUACGGUGGAUGCCUUGGCAGUCAGAGGCGAUGAAAGACGUGGUAGCCUGCGAUAAGCUUCGGGGAGUCGGCAAACAGACUUUGAUCCGGAGAUCUCUGAAUGGGGAAACCCACCUAGCAUAAGCUAGGUAUCUUGCACUGAAUACAUAGGUGUAAGAGGCGAACCAGGGGAACUGAAACAUCUAAGUACCCUGAGGAAAAGAAAUCAACCGAGAUUCCCUUAGUAGUGGCGAGCGAACGGGGAUUAGCCCUUA
rnacentral:rRNA from 1 species